rnacentral:rRNA from 1 species
AGCAGCCGCGGUAAUUCCAGCUCCAAUAGCGUAUAUUAAAGUUGUUGCAGUUAAAAAGCUCGUAGUUGAAUUUCGGGAUUGGCGCACCGGUCGUGCCUCACGGGGUAUGAACUGGUGCAGUCAAUUUCUCACCUUCUGGAGAACCGUGAUGUCCUUAAUUGGGUGCCGCGGGGAACCAGGACCUUUACUUUGAAAAAAUUAGAGUGUUUAAAGCAGGCAUUUUUGCUUGAAUACAUUAGCAUGGAAUAAUAAAAUAGGACGGCAUGGUUCUAUUUUGUUGGUUUCUAGGACCACCGUAAUGAUUAAUAGGGAUAGUUGGGGGCAUUAGUAUUCAAUUGUCAGAGGUGAAAUUCUUGGAUUUAUUGAAGACUAACUACUGCGAAAGCAUUUGCCAAGGAUGUUUUCAUUAAUCAAGAACGAAAGUUAGGGGAUCGAAGACGAUCAGAUACCGUCGUAGUCUUAACCAUAAACUAUGCCGACUAGGAAUCAGACGAUGUUAAUUUUUAAUGUACUCGUUGGC